AUUUUUUAUAUUUAGCCCAUCCCAUCCAAUGGCAUUCCAUUUUACGAGUGCUUAGUACUGUACCCCAAACAAUUUUUUUUUUUUUUGAGAGAUAGGUACCACGCUACAUGUUUCGUUUAUUUCAUUUAGAAAUAAACUUAGCUGGAAAAUGUGAAUCAACUAGGAUUCGAACUUGAGUCUCGGAUACCAACCAUCAAGUUUUUACUACUUGCUCUAGGGACGGUUGAUUACUGUACCCCAAACAUUAUUCUUGUUCUAAUAGAGUUGUUAUACCCGUACUUUCAAUUUUCUUUUGUAUACUUGAAUAAAAGUUAUUUAUAACUAUAGGGUGCUUAAAACUUUUGUCUCUAAAAUUAAUUUGUUAUAAUUUUGAUUCGAUCAUGAAAAAUUUUUACAAUCAAGUCUCAUAAUCUAGUUUCGUUGACUAAAUAUUGACAUUUUGCUGAAACGAAAGUAAUAUAGGAGUGUUGUAAUUGAUGACGCAAUAGUAAUUAAAAUAUUAUAUCACUUCUACAUUAGCCAUAUGUUAACAUGUUAAUAUUUCGUCAAUUAAAUUAAAUUAUAAAACUUGAUUAUAAUAAUUUAUAAAAUUUAAAUCACAAAUUGCACGUAUUCUAAAAUAUUUUCAGUGUUUUUACUUAUCUUUUUAGAAGAUGACAAAACUGAAAAUCAUUUUUGUACAUGCAAGCCUUUUUUUUUUUAUUUAAGGGUGAAGUAUGUUUAAGUCCCUAAAACUUGCAGUUAGAACCGUCAACGAGUUGAAACUGUGUGAGCUGGGGCGCUUGUGUUCACUCGUUUAUUAAACUAGUCGAAUAUAAAUUGAGUCGUUAAAUAUUGAGCUGAAAAGUUCAGUUUAUGUAUAACUUAUUUAUUAACAAGUCAAACAUGAGUUGACUCACGAAUAUCAAGUUAAAUUGUUAACUCUACUAUUAGAUGAAAAAUUGAAAGAAAAAUUAAAAAAUUAAAAUUUUAAUCUAAUAAUUAAAAUUCAUAAUAUAGGUAUCUUUACAUUUAGUUGGCCUAAAAUCCGAAUAAUAGAAAUUUGUAACG
rnacentral:lncRNA from 1 species